GGCGUAGGAUAUUUGAGAGGAGCUGUCCUUAGUACGAGAGGACCGGGAUGGACGGGCCGCCGGUGUACCUGUUGGGGAUCAACCCCAUGGCAGGGUAGCCGUGCCUGGACGGGAUAAACGCUGAAGGCAUCUAAGCGUGAAGCCCCCCUCAAGAUGAGAUAUCCCAUUCGUAAGAAGUAAGACCCCUUAGAGAGUAUGAGGUAGAUAGGGCAGAGGUGUAAGUGCCGUAAGGUACUGAGCUGACUGUUACUAAUAGGUCGAGGGCUUAUCCGC
rnacentral:rRNA from 1 species